rnacentral:rRNA from 1 species
UACAGAGGUCUCAAGCGUUUGUUCGGAUUCAUUGGGCGUAAAGGGUGCGUAGGUGGCGCGCUAAGUCAGGUGUGAAAUUUCGGAGCUUAACUCCGAAACUGCAUUUGAUACUGGCGUGCUUGAGGACUGGAGAGGAGACUGGAAUUCAUGGUGUAGCAGUGAAAUGCGUAGAGAUCAUGAGGAAGACCAGUGGCGAAGGCGGGUCUCUGGACAGUUCCUGACACUGAGGCACGAAGGCCAGGGGAGCAAAACGGGG